UACGGAGGGUGCGAGCGUUGUCCGGAAUCACUGGGCGUAAAGGGCGCGUAGGUGGCUUGUCAAGCGCGCGGUGAAAGCCCGGGGCUCAACCCCGGGUCGGCCGUGCGGACUGGCAGGCUUGAGCACUGUAGGGGCGGGUGGAAUUCCGGGUGUAGCGGUGGAAUGCGCAGAUAUCAGGAGGAACACCGGUGGCGAAGGCGGGUCUCUGGGCCGUAACUGACGCUGAGGAGCGAAAGCGUGGGGAGCGAACAGG
rnacentral:rRNA from 1 species